AGAGCACCAAAGACCCAGAUUUUGACAUCAUUUCCUGGUUGAACAAGAUGAAGCAGAGUAAUAAAUGGGUAGGCUUUACCUGAUUGGCUGAAUUGAGGUAUGUAAAUAUUUUCAUUUUAAAGUAAAAAUAUUAAUGUUUGAAAUAAAUGAUGGAAUGUGGGAAUAUUACAAAAAUUCUAGAAAUACCAGGGGAGAUUGUAGGAGUGGGGAUUGAUAUUUUUGGCAGGGUGUCAUUUACUGCCGAUCUCUGUAAGUUCUAAAUAACUGCAAAUUUGACCUAUAAACGCCGCGGAACGGUAUAUUUUUUUUCGUGUUUUUAAUAAGUGCUUAGAACGAACUUUCAAAUAAUACCAGUGAUUUGUUUGAACGGGAAUUAGUAAAUUACUUGGAGGGCAAAAGCUUCCUGGACCCGGGAGAGCUUGGUAUCUGAUCGGCGGGGGGCAUUUUCUCUAUAUAAGAAGAAGAUGGAGACUCGCUACCCACCCGAUAUAUUUUGUCGGACAGAUUUCUGUACAUUGCAGUGACAACUGUAUCCAGAUUUCAUCACAGGAAUGAAAGUUUUUCACUCUUUGGAAAAGCACCUGCAGCAGGGAGGGGACAUUCAUUAAGAUGGCCACAGAUUCCAAGACACUGAAGUGACAGGCCUCAAAUUUCAUACAUGUAUAUUGGUAAGUAUAAGGUCUUUGAAAAUUACAAAAUUGACUAAUUCUGGGAUAGGUAAAUAUGUAAGUAUAGGAAAAAGAGCACCAAAGACCCAGAUUUUGACAUCAUUUCCUGGUUGAACAAGAUGAAGCAGAGUAAUAAAUGGGUAGGCUUUACCUGAUUGGCUGAAUUGAGGUAUGUAAAUAUUUUCAUUUUAAAGUAAAAAUAUUAAUGUUUGAAAUAAAUGAUGGAAUGUGGGAAUAUUACAAAAAUUCUAGAAAUACCAGGGGAGAUUGUAGGAGUGGGGAUUGAUAUUUUUGGCAGGGUGUCAUUUACUGCCGAUCUCUGUAAGUUCUAAAUAACUGCAAAUUUGACCUAUAAACGCCGCGGAACAGUAUAUUUUUUUUCGUG